rnacentral:rRNA from 1 species
AUUGAACGCUGGCGGUAUGCUUAACACAUGCAAGUCGAACGGUAACAGGCCUUCGGGCGCUGACGAGUGGCGGACGGGUGCGUAACGCGUAGGAAUCUGCCUGGUAGUGGGGGACAACUUGGGGAAACUCAAGCUAAUACCGCAUACGCCCUACGGGGGAAAGCGGGGGACCUUCGGGCCUCGCGCUAUCAGAUGAGCCUGCGUUGGAUUAGCUGGUUGGUAGGGUAAAGGCCUACCAAGGCGACGAUCCAUAGCUGGUCUGAGAGGACGAUCAGCCACACUGGGACUGAGACACGGCCCAGACGCCUACGGGAGGCAGCAGUGGGGAAUAUUGGACAAUGGGCGAAAGCCUGAUCCAGCAAUACCGCGUGUGUGAAGAAGGCCUGAGGGUUGUAAAGCACUUUUAAUCGGGAGGAAAACCUGUCGGCGAAUACCCGGCGGCUUGACAUUACCGAUAGAAAAAGCGCCGGCUAACUCCGUGCCAGCCGCCGCCGUAACAC